AUUUUCAGCACACUUUUCUUCCUUAUUUUUAGCUUCAGGAAGAUGGCAAAGUACAACGAGUAGAAAUCAAGACCACUCAUGUCUUUUUCUAUCUGGAGAAUGUUACUCAAAAAGAAAUUCAAUUCUCAUUCUCCAUCAAACAAGAUGCACUCGUAUCCAACAUCAAGCCAGCAUCUGUUCAGCUCUAUGAUUAUUAUGAAACUGAUGAAUUUGCACUUGCAGAAUACAGCACACCAUGUGGUCAGAUGUCCCUUGAAACCUCCUCAUUCUAGGAUAAGGAAAAUGAGAUGGAAAAGAAGAUACUUUGUAACUGAGAUAUCUAUCAAGUUUGUUCCUGGAAGCUUUAAGCCUGCACUUCCCAAAAGCUUCAACCAGCAGAGACCAGGGCCAGUAGACAAAUGCUUUCACCUCUGCUCUUAGUCAAGAACUGUGGGAGGCGUUCCAAAUGCUUCUCAUGAAGUCCCCUUGAAAUCCAUCUCCCAGAUUUUCAGGAAGCAGACUCCACAACAAAUCCUUAAAUUAGCCUUUGUCCUUUUUUGACACAGUCUUCCUGCUCUCUCAUUCAUGUUUCCUGGGCUCCCCAGUGAAAUGAAUUAUCUGCAUCCAAGCCCUUACCUCAAAUUCUACUUUCAGGGCAACCCAAGCAGAGAAAGCCUAUCCCAUCAAUCACUGAAUAACUAUAGAAAACACUUCGUUAGAUAAGGAGUAUUCUAACGUAUUGAUACUUUAGUUCUGGUAUGUGUUUCUGAAUAAUUUCUCUGGGAAGUGUGGAAAAGUAAGCCUUCAUGUUAUUUAAACGUAAAUAUGUUUAUUUUCCUUGGCAACUAUUGUUGAGUAAAACCUGACCAGAAUUCAUGGGUUUUUUUGUUUGUUUUUUGUUUUUUUUUUAAAAAAGAACCUAUGUAUUUUUAACUUCCAUUUUAAAACUGAAUUUUCUUUCUCCAGAUAAGCUUAGGAUGAAACAAACACCCCCCAUCUCCUCCCUAACCCAAUCACUUAGAGCAUCAUUUCUGAAGAUAUAUUUGUAAAGUUUUCUUGGCUAUAAAAUAUUAUAUACUUGAUUUAAUUAUAAGAUCAAAUAUUCAUUAGUAUGUUAUUAUUAAACACAUAUAUUUUAGAAAAUUAUUUUUAUACAUGUACCUAAAGCGUUUACUUGUAACUGUUAAGAUAAAAGAAUAAAUUUAUGUUGUUUUGAGCCACAAAGUAUGAGAUAAUUUGUUACUGCAGCAAUAGAAGAAGAAUGCACUAUCUCAUAAAUAUCUCAAACAUAACGAACUUAAACAUUUCAAAUGUCAUUUGUCAUUCCUAACUGCUCCCCAAAGCAAUCAAUCUCGCUUUAUACCUGGUCACCCAGUCAUCUCAGUAAUGAUAUUCACAUCCACCCAGAUCUAUGGUGCAGGUGCAAGACCUGUGUAUUUUGCUUAUUUCUCCCUGGCUCACAGACUUUACAUACCUAUCAUUUAUACCUCCAACAUCUAUGUUCUAAAAGAGAGGUUUAAAAAAAUUUUUUUUCAUUUGCUUAGAUCUCUUCUUCUAUAGCUUUCCAUGGUACAUCAGAUAACAAUGAAUGUUUUACCAUAGUUUACAAGGUAUUAAAUGAAAAUGCCCCUGCUUAUCUGUCAAAUAUCAUUUUAUUCCCCUUUCCCACUUCAAUCAAAUAUUAUUUUAUUCCCCUUUCCCACUUCAAUCACAGUGACUUCUUUCAGCUCUGGCUGUAUUCAAGUAUCCAAACCAUACAAUAUCUAGAACAGGCAAAACUAUGGAGACAGUAAAAAGAUCAGUGGUUGCCAGGGGUUGUAGGGAGGGAAAGAUAAUUAGGUGAAACACAGGAAGUUUUUAGGACAGUGAAACUAUGCUGCAUGGCACUAUAUAUAAUGUAUAUUGGAUACAUAUCAUUAUACAUUU